CCUUUGGACAGAUUUUAAACAGUGUUUAGCACACAAUGUCAAUUUUUGUCGGACAGACAUUUGGUGAACCAAAAUCUAUCCAAAUUUGCCUAUUUAAGGGCUGCCCUUUCCUCACUUUGGGGGGACUCCAUCACACUUCCAGGGGGCAUUUUUUAUAAUUACUUUGUCACACAAAAAAAAAAAUUCAGCAGUUGAACACAUGAAAAGUAAGCUGAAAUGGUGAGCUUUGGGAGUGAAUCUUAGAGUGCAAACUUUUAGAAAGGUAUAAGUCCUCUUUAGAGUUCGUUUUUGGGUUCCCUUUCUAAGUUUUCGGGUUGUUUUAACACGAAUUUGCUGCUGGUUUUGCUGCUGUUUUUAUACUGCUUUAGUUGCUGAACUACUGUUUAUUCUUUUGCUACCAGGUAAUCCUUUAAGACUCGUAAUGUACGUAUUUUCAGUAAUGGGAACAACUUGAACAUGCUGCACCAUUUAAAUGUGUUUGAAAUGAUGAAUAGUUUGACAACAAAAGAGCUUGUAUGUUAUUGUUAUGUAUCAAGCAUGUGAUAAUGUGAAUAUAGUCCUUCAUAAUACUUGAAUGUGAUAUGUAAGUCGUUUAUGGAUUUUUUAAGCAUGUUUUCAAGCUAUUAUAUCUGAGUAACAAUGC
rnacentral:lncRNA from 1 species